rnacentral:rRNA from 1 species
GACGAACGCUGGCGGCGUGCUUUACACAUGCAAGUCGAACGGAAAGACCCUGCUUUUGUGGGGUGCUCGAGUGGAGAACGGGUGAGUAACACGUGAGUAACCUGCCCUUGACUUUGGGAUAACUUCAGGAAACUGGGGCUAAUACCGGAUAGGAGCUCCUGCUGCAUGGUGGGGGUUGGAAAGUUUCUGCGGUUGGGGAUGGACUCGCGGCUUAUCAGCUUGUUGGUGGGGUAGUGGCUUACCAAGGCUUUGACGGGUAGCCGGCCUGAGAGGGUGACCGGCGACAAUGGGACUGAGGUACGGCCCAGACUGCUACGUGGGGCAGCAGUGGGGAAUAUGGCACAGUGGGCGGAAGCCUGAGGCAGCGACGCCGCGUGCGGGAUGACGGCCUUCGGGUUGUAAACCGCUUUCGCCUGUUACGAAGCGUAAGUGACGGUAAUGGGUAAAGAAGCACCGGCUAACUACGUG